AUGUGUCUUGGCUAAGGUGUCUUGGCUAAGGUGUCUUGGCGAAGGUGUCUUGGCUAAGGUGUCUUGGCUAAUGUGUCUCGGCUAAUGUGUCUUGGCUAAGGUGUCUUGGCUAAGGUGUCUUGGCUAAGGUGUCUCGGCUAAAGUGUCUUGGCUAAGGUGUCUUGGCUAAUGUGUCUCGGCUAAUGUGUCUUGGCUAAGGUGUCUUGGCUAAGGUGUCUUGGCUAAGGUGUCUUGGUUAAGGUGUCUUGGCUAAGGUGUCUUGGCUAAGGUGUCUUGGCUAAUGUGUCUUGGCUAAUGUGUCUUGGCUAAUGUGUCUUGGCUAAGGUGUCUUGGCUAAGGUGUCUUGACUAAGGUGUCUUGGCUAAUGUGUCUUGGCUAAGGUGUCUUGGCUAAGGUGUCUUGGCUAAUGUGUCUCGGCUAAGGUGUCUUGGCUAAGGUGUCUUGGCUAAGGUGUCUUGGCUAAGGUGUCUCGGCUAAGGUGUCUUGGCUAAAGUGUCUUGGCUUAGGUGUCUUGGCUAAGGUGUCUUGGCUAAGGUGUCUUGGCUAAGGUGUCUUGGCUAAGGUGUCUUGGCUAAUGUGUAUCGGCUAAUGUGUCUUGGCUAAGGUGUCUUGGCUAAUGUGUAUCGGCUAAUGUGUCUUGGCUAAGGUGUCUUGGCUAAUGUGUCUUGGCUAAUGUGUCUUGGCUAAGGUGUCUUGGCUAAUGUGUCUCGGCUAAUGUGUCUUGGCUAAUGUGUCUCGGCUAAUGUGUCUUGGCUAAGGUGUCUUGGCUAAUGUGUCUCGGCUAAUGUGUCUUGGCUAAUGUGUCUUGGCUAAGGUGUCUUGGCUAAUGUGUCUCGGCUAAGGUGUCUUAGCUAAGGUGUCUUGGCUAAGGUGUCUCGGCUAAUGUGUCUUGGCUAAGGUGUCUUGGCUAAUGUGUCUUGGCUAAUGUGUCUUGGCUAAGGUGUCUUGGCUAAUGUGUCUCGGCUAAUGUGUCUUGGCUUAGGUGUCUUGGCUAAUGUGUCUCGGCUAAUGUGUCUUGGCUAAGGUGUCUUGGCUACGGUUUCUUGGCUAAUGUGUCUUGGCUAAUGUGUCUUGGCUAAUGUGUCUUGGCUAAGGUGUCUUGGCUAAAGUGUCUUGGCUAAGGUGUCUUGGCUAAGGUGUCUUGGCUAAGGUGUCUUGGCUAAUGUGUCUUGGCUAAGGUGUCUUGGCUAAGGUGUCUUGGCUAAUGUGUCUCGGCUAAUGUGUCUUGGCUAAGGUGUCUUGGCUAAUGUGUCUUGGCUAAUGUGUCUUGGGUAAUGUGUCUCGGCUAAUGUGUCUCGGCUAAUGUGUCUUGGCUUAGGUGUCUUGGCUAAUGUGUCUCGGCUAAUGUGUCUUGGCUAAGGUGUCUUGGCUACGGUGUCUUGGCUAAUGUGUCUUGGCUAAUGUGUCUCGGCUAAGGUGUCUUGGCUAAGGUGUCUUGGCUAAGGUGUCUUGGCUAAGGUGUCUUGGCUAAGGUGUCUUGGCUAAGGUGUCUUGGCUAAGGUGUCUUGGCUAAUGUGUCUCGGCUAAGGUGUCUUGGCUAAAGUGUCUUGGCUAAGGUGUCUCGGCUAAG